AACGAACGCUGGCGGCAGGCCUAAUACAUGCAAGUCGAACGCACCGCAAGGUGAGUGGCAGACGGGUGAGUAACGCGUGGGAACCUUCCUAGUAGUACGGAAUAACUCCGGGAAACCGGUGCUAAUACCGUAUAAGCCCUCCGGGGGAAAGAUUUAUCGCUACCAGAUGGGCCCGCGUCGGAUUAGCUUGUUGGUGAGGUAAUGGCUCACCAAGGCUUCGAUCCGUAGCUGGUCUGAGAGGAUGAUCAGCCACACUGGGACUGAGACACGGCCCAGACUCCUACGGGAGGCAGCAGUAGGGAAUAUUGGACAAUGGGCGAAAGCCUGAUCCAGCCAUGCCGCGUGAGUGAAGAAGGCCUUAAGGGUUGUAAAGC
rnacentral:rRNA from 1 species